UUAAAUUACUGCAUUAUGUGCAUUUUUUCCUAAAUGAGGGAUGUUUAAUUGAACAAGCUCAAAACUGAUAUUGAUUGAUUCAUUUCUACGCUCCCGCUAACAGGAUAUGUUGCCACCUUGACCUACCAGAGAAACCUAGGUAGAGCAAUUGAUCAUGUGCGCAUGCUCCGAUUAGACGUCGCUUUAAAAAUUUGAAGAAACUAACCCUUCCUUGGAAACCUGUCCUCGCAGCUCUCGUUUUAAAAUAAUAUCAGGCUUUUUAAAUGUUGCUAACAGCGGCAACUCGGACUAACUCACUUGUCAGGUGCUUUGGUUCGGCCUCUCGAAGUUUAAAAGACAAAAACAAAUGACGAAUAUAAAUUAAAGGCAGAGACGAGGGAUUUCAAGGACGCGUGGACUUCAAUUUAAUCGGAGAGGCUGCGAGUGGAGUGGAAGAGUGACACACAGAGGAGAGAAGUUCAUUAUUCUGCUGAAAAGGAAACCAAUGGCUUUCAUGGUCGCCAUGGUAACCGGCCUUUCUUUUGCCGCCAGACCUACGAUAAGAGGGCUGCCUUGCUGGAGGUACUCCUGUUUAAAUGGCUGUUGAUGGAGUCUGGGCUGAGGCUGUAGGCUGCUGAUGUCCCUGCCAUCUUAGAGUCCAUGGUUCUGCUCCCGGGCCUGCUGGCAGUCAGCUGUUGAAGGUGUGUCUAACAGAGGGAUCGGGAAGCAGCAGCAGCCUUGGAAGCAGUGAGAGGUUGGUGAGUGUCCUCAAUUUUCUGGCCAGAGUGGGAGGAGGUUAGUAGUAAAGAGAGAGAGAGAGAAAAAAGGGAGGGGGCAUUUGGAAUGAUGGUUAGGAAGCUCUGUGUGUUCACAUAUGCUAUAUUUGUUAUGACAUAGUCUAAUUUGAGUCGAGGAAGCUUAGCUUUGCCGUCUUGUCACCUGUUGGUUUUAUUCUAAUCAGAUACAGCAGCAUUUUAGAUUUCAGGAAAAAGCAGAGCGGUCAAAUCCUGCAGAAUCGACCUAAAAGUUACAACACGUGAAAUAAAAAGAAUCUUUGUUAUGAUUAAAAAACAAAUAUAGGAAAAGCAUAAAAUAAUCACUGUGGUGCAAGCUACAUUUCUUUUAUUCAAAAAAUGCUAUAUAGUCAAUUAUUUUGACUUUUAAGAAUGUUAAAACUACCCCCAAUUGUUAUGGUUUGUCCUCUCUGACACGCACACUGGAUGCAUCAGUGACUUUAUGCUGAGCUCUGUAUACAUCUAUGUUUGUGAAGAGAAGGAUGAAAGCAAGAAUGAGAGGUUGCUUCCAGAUAAUAGUAGCUUAGGCUCUUUGUCCUGCUGUCAGGCGGGAGAGGAGCGAGGCUGCAAAUCUCUCCAACACAGCGGCAACAUCUUGUAUGUUCCAUUGACAUAUCAGUCUAUGGGGCAAUGAGCCGUCACCCCUGCACACUUCUGCACACUUCUGGUCUGGAUGUGUGUUUGUGGAUGGGUUUGUACAAAAUAGUUGGCACAAAAGGGUAACUCUUGGCUAUAUUAGGGACAAGCGAAGUCGAUACAGGUGGAAUAUAAAAGUAUAGAGCAUUAUUAGGUCACCGUAAUAGCUUGCGCCACUCAGAACAAAGGCAGAAGUAUUUAGUUUUGACUUUUGUAAUAACACUUAAGCAGGAUUUUUUCUUAUUUCUACGCUUACAGUUUUUAUUUAUUUCUUUUUUUCUAUAUAACAACACAAAUCACAAUACAGCGACUUCUACUUUGAAUCAUUACUAAAAUUAAAAAUGUGCUUUUUAAAAUG